rnacentral:rRNA from 1 species
AUUGAACGCUGGCGGCAGGCCUAACACAUGCAAGUCGAGCGAGCGGCGGACGGGUGAGUAUUGUCUGGGAAACUGCCUGAUGGGGGGGGAUAACUACUGUAAACGGUAGCUAAUACCGCAUACCAUCAGAAGUGCCCAGAUGGGAUUAGAUAGUAGGUGGGGUAACGGGUCACCUAGCCGACGAUCCCUCGCUGGUCUGAGAGGAUGACCAGCCACACUGGAACUGGGCCAGGGUCCAGACUCCUACGGGAGGCAGCAGUGGGGAAUAUUGCACAAUGGGCGCAAUCCUGAUGCAGCCAUGCCGCGGGUAUGAAGAAGGCCUUCGGGUUGUAAAGCACUUUCAGCGGGGAGGCGUUACCCGCAGAAGAAGCACCGGCUAACUCCGUGCCAGCAGCCGCGGUAAUUC